CUUUUGUUCCUUUAGACAUAGUUGUAUUUUGUGUUUUUUUUACAUGAAUUGUGCAAAUGUUCCAUGAGUCUGAUUUUGUUCAUUGCAGCCACUUGUUAGUUCCGUUACACGCUACCACUGUUACACGCUACCACUGACAGUUACUUGUUACAUGUUAUCACUUUUACUUGUUACCACGGUUACUGCUACGUCACAUCAUUUAGUACUGUCAUUUGUUACCUUGCGCUGUUGUUACACGCUAUCCUUGUUACUAGCUACCAC